rnacentral:rRNA from 1 species
AUGGAGAGUUUGAUCCUGGCUCAGGACGAACGCUGGCGGCGUGCUUAACACAUGCAAGUCGAACGGAAAGGCCCUGCUUUUGUGGGGUGCUCGAGUGGCGAACGGGUGAGUAACACGUGAGUAACCUGCCCUUGACUUUGGGAUAACUUCAGGAAACUGGGGCUAAUACCGGAUAGGAGCUCCUGCUGCAUGGUGGGGGUUGGAAAGUUUCGGCGGUUGGGGAUGGACUCGCGGCUUAUCAGCUUGUUGGUGGGGUAGUGGCUUACCAAGGCUUUGACGGGUAGCCGGCCUGAGAGGGUGACCGGCCACAUUGGGACUGAGAUACGGCCCAGACUCCUACGGGAGGCAGCAGUGGGGAAUAUUGCACAAUGGGCGGAAGCCUGAUGCAGCAACGCCGCGUGCGGGAUGACGGCCUUCGGGUUGUAAACCGCUUUCGCCUGUGACGAAGCGUGAGUGACGGUAAUGGGUAAAGAAGCACCGGCUAACUACGUGCCAGCAGCCGCGGUGAUACGUAGGGUGCGAGCGUUGUCCGGAUUUAUUGGGCGUAAAGGGCUCGUAGGUGGUUGAUCGCGUCGGAAGUGUAAUCUUGGGGCUUAACCCUGAGCGUGCUUUCGAUACGGGUUGACUUGAGGAAGGUAGGGGAGAAUGGAAUUCCUGGUGGAGCGGUGGAAUGCGCAGAUAUCAGGAGGAACACCAGUGGCGAAGGCGGUUCUCUGGGCCUUUCCUGACGCUGAGGAGCGAAAGCGUGGGGAGCGAACAGGCUUAGAUACCCUGGUAGUCCACGCUGUAAACGGUGGGUACUAGGUGUGGGGUCCAUUCCACGGGUUCCGUGCCGUAGCUAACGCUUUAAGUACCCCGCCUGGGGAGUACGGCCGCAAGGCUAAAACUCAAAGGAAUUGACGGGGCCCCGCACAAGCGGCGGAGCAUGCGGAUUAAUUCGAUGCAACGCGUAGAACCUUACCUGGGUUUGACAUGG